GCCCGUCGUGGUCAACGGGCCAGCCGAGUCUGGAGUGGUUGCGAACCCUUCUGGCUGCAGAUCUGGAGGUGGAGGCAGUACCCUGGACUCUAUUCUGCUGCCCCUUCAGGGUUUGGAGGAGCCGGAGAUCCCUCGCGUCCUGUCACUUCCAGCGAGGCACACAAAACUGACCGUAGGGAUGGCCACCAGGGUCCGGACAGCUUCUAUUUGGUCCCACCUCUCCAAGAACGAAACAGUUCAUGGGAUAGGAUCAGAAAGCUCCAAGGUCAGGAAUCCAUCUUGGGCCAAGGGACUCCUGGUCUGCAACCUCUCCCUGGAACACCCAGGCAGAAGCAGAAGAGUCGCAGAAUAGAGAAAGUCCUAGAGUGGCUGUUUAUUUCCCAAGAGCAGCCAAAAAUCACCAAGUCCUGGGACCUUUGUCAUUCAUGGAUGUGUUUGUGGAUUUUACCUGGGAGGAGUGGCAGCUGCUAGACCCAGCACAGAAGUGCCUGUACAGGAGUGUGAUGUUGGAGAACUAUAGCAACCUGGUGUCCCUAGGUAAGUGC
rnacentral:lncRNA from 1 species